UAGCAAGCCACAUGUUC
rnacentral:misc_RNA from 1 species